rnacentral:lncRNA from 1 species
CAUUCGCCGCCGUUGUCCGUCUUUUUGGCAAACUGGAUAUUCUGCGUACAUGGCGAAAAGCGCUGCGGAGCAGCUCUCCCCUUUGCUGAAAAUUUUCCCGGGGGGAUUGCCGCGGGAGAGCAACGGAAGGAUGGCACGCAGAUCUAUCCGAGGAUUUGCCACAGGAUUCACCUUGAGCUCUCCCUUCCUCCAAGCUGGUCUCAGAGGUCACACUUGCAGCGUCCCCUGCCCAGUGCUGCAGCGCUUUUUCUGAGAGUAUGUUUUGGAGUGUAUCUGCACCUCUUCCGAGGAUAUUCACAAUCCCUUCUCCAACGACAGACAGAAAUCUCUCCGUCUCUGACCACUGGUGCUCAUCUUUUUCCCCUCCUGGUGAGUGCGAAAGGCUCCUGCUGGCAGAACGGAGUGUUUCCGGCUGUGAUGAAAGUUCCACCGCAGUUUCGGCCUCUCCCAUCUCCAACGUAACGUUUUCACCGUUUGGGGGAGAGGGUUCAGACAGUAGGUUAGAGCAUAUGAAUUCCUCGGCCGAACAAAUCGAUUCAGGUGCAGAUCGAUACCUACGGUGGUUUGUACAUACAGACUGUUUUUCUUUCAGUCCGCUCUUCUCACGAAGAGAUGAAGUAUCUAGUAAGAGCGGAGGCAGUCUGGAAACGGUUGUCAAGGAGACUCUUCUUCGUUUGGUUCGCCUUCGCCUUUCUCGGACUACCUCCCUGGGAGGAGUAACACCCUCUAUCCGUGCGUUCUUACAGGAACUUGAAUUUUCGCUGUCACACCUUGUAUCUGCCUCCACAGAGCCAGAAACGCUUUCAACCCCCUUCAAAACGCGACUACUUCCCGGUGAUUCAUCUCUGGCGUCGGAAGCCGAACUGUUUUGUCGAAGAAUAUGGCGGCAGUCCGGCGCCUCACCGUGAGCGCUUUCAUGGAACACUGAUGGUAUUUUCUUGUCUUCACCUACGGGAGACUCCUCGUCCUGAUCCAUACGUUUGGUUCCCGAGCUACUGACCCUCUCGGCGUUGUUGUGAAAGUACUGCAGAAUGUCGUUUUCUGAAGCUCUGCCGGACUCGGUUGCUGCAAAUGUCGUGAAAGCUGACGCUUCUUGACAAAACAACGGUCGUUGUGCUUCGCCCUCUUCGGCACCUGUCGUGUCUUCGGGAGACACGAAGACGCAAAACGAAGGUGACAACGGCGCGUGUGCAUCGUCUUCUAAAUCAGUAGGUUUGGGACAGUUCCCUUUCUCUGGCGAAGAGAGUAAAGUUAGAUUACGGGACAGCAUCGACUUGGUCAACCUGUAUUGAGCCGAC